GAAAAGAUAAGCUAAUAUUAAGCUUAUGGGCUCAUACCCCGUCUAUGAAGAAUUCUUCUCCUUUCA
rnacentral:tRNA from 1 species